AGUGGAUUAGCGGCGGACGGGUGAGUAACACGUGGGUAACCUGCCUCAAAGUGGGGGAUAGCCUUCCGAAAGGAAGAUUAAUACCGCAUAAUAUAAGAGAAUCGCAUGAUUUUCUUAUCAAAGAUUUAUUGCUUUGAGAUGGACCCGCGGCGCAUUAGCUAGUUGGUAAGGUAACGGCUUACCAAGGCAACGAUGCGUAGCCGACCUGAGAGGGUGAUCGGCCACAUUGGAACUGAGACACGGUCCAGACUCCUACGGGAGGCAGCAGUGGGGAAUAUUGCGCAAUGGGGGAAACCCUGACGCAGCAACGCCGCGUGGGUGAUGAAGGUCUUCGGAUUGUAAAGCCCUGUUUUCUAGGACGAUAAUGACGGUACCAGAGGAGGAAGCCACGGCUAACUACGUGCCAGCAGCCGCGGUAAUACGUAGGUGGCGAGCGUUGUCCGGAUUUACUGGGCGUAAAGGGUGCGUAGGCGGAUGUUUAAGUGGGAUGUGAAAUCCCCGGGCUUAACCUGGGGGCUGCAUUCCAAACUGGAUAUCUAGAGUGCAGGAGAGGAAAGCGGAAUUCCUAGUGUAGCGGUGAAAUGCGUAGAGAUUAGGAAGAACACCAGUGGCGAAGGCGGCUUUCUGGACUGUAACUGACGCUGAGGCACGAAAGCGUGGGUAGCAAACAGGAUUAGAUACCCUGGUAGUCCACGCCGUAAACGAUGGAUACUAGGUGUAGGGGGUAUCAACUCCCCCUGUGCCGCAGUUAACACAAUAAGUAUCCCGCCUGGGGAGUACGGUCGCAAGAUUAAAACUCAAAGGAAUUGACGGGGGCCCGCACAAGCAGCGGAGCAUGUGGUUUAAUUCGAAGCAACGCGAAGAACCUUACCUGGACUUGACAUCCCUUGCAUAGCCUAGAGAUAGGUGAAGCCCUUCGGGGCAAGGAGACAGGUGGUGCAUGGUUGUCGUCAGCUCGUGUCGUGAGAUGUUAGGUUAAGUCCUGCAACGAGCGCAACCCUUGUUAUUAGUUGCUACCAUUAAGUUGAGCACUCUAAUGAGACUGCCUGGGUAACCAGGAGGAAGGUGGGGAUGACGUCAA
rnacentral:rRNA from 1 species